rnacentral:rRNA from 1 species
UACGAAGGGGGCUAGCGUUGCUCGGAAUCACUGGGCGUAAAGGGCGCGUAGGCGGCCGAUUAAGUCGGGGGUGAAAGCCUGUGGCUCAACCACAGAAUUGCCUUCGAUACUGGUUGGCUUGAGACCGGAAGAGGACAGCGGAACUGCGAGUGUAGAGGUGAAAUUCGUAGAUAUUCGCAAGAACACCAGUGGCGAAGGCGGCAUGUCGUGGUCCAGUCUGACGCUGAGGCGCGAAAGCGUGGGGAGCAAACAGG